CCACCUCCCCGGUUCUAGUGAUUCUCCUGCAUCAGCCUCCUGAGUAGCUGGAACUGCAGGGCUAAGAUUUUACAUUUCAUGUAGCUUUUGAAACGAUUAGCUGCUUCAAACCAUCACACAGUGACAGGCAAGAAACCCAACCACACCUAUCACCAUUUUAGUGAGUGUGAUUAGGUACAAUUGGGGUCAGAAGUGAGAACCAAAAAAUAGAGGAAAAGGAUGAGAUUUAGUAGUGUUGAUACCUGUUGCAACUUAGAAUUUCCAUCUCUAAAUAUGAACUCUAAAGGGGAACUUUGAUAACCUGCCAAAAGAG